rnacentral:rRNA from 1 species
UACGUAGGGUCCGAGCGUUGUCCGGAAUUAUUGGGCGUAAAGGGUUCGUAGGCGGUUCGUCACGUCGGGAGUGAAAACUCGGAGCUUAACUCCGAGCCUGCUUCCGAUACGGGCAGACUAGAGGUAGGCAGGGGAGAGCGGAACUCCUGGUGUAGCGGUGAAAUGCGCAGAUAUCGGGAGGAACACCGGUGGCGAAGGCGGUUCUCUGGGCCUUACCUGACGCUGAGGAGCGAAAGCGUGGGGAGCAAACAGG